rnacentral:rRNA from 1 species
CAUUAGCUAGUUGGUGAGGUAACGGCUCACCAAGGCCACGAUGCAUAGCCGACCUGAGAGGGUGAUCGGCCACAUUGGGACUGAGACACGGCCCAAACUCCUACGGGAGGCAGCAGUAGGGAAUCUUCGGCAAUGGACGAAAGUCUGACCGAGCAACGCCGCGUGAGUGAAGAAGGUUUUCGGAUCGUAAAACUCUGUUGUUAGAGAAGAACAAGGAUGAGAGUAACUGUUCAUCCCUUGACGGUAUCUAACCAGAAAGCCACGGCUAACUACGUGCCAGCAGCCGCGGUAAUACGUAGGUGGCAAGCGUUGUCCGGAUUUAUUGGGCGUAAAGCGAGCGCAGGCGGUUUCUUAAGUCUGAUGUGAAAGCCCCCGGCUCAACCGGGGAGGGUCAUUGGAAACUGGGAGACUUGAGUGCAGAAGAGGAGAGUGGAAUUCCAUGUGUAGCGGUGAAAUGCGUAGAUAUAUGGAGGAACACCAGUGGCGAAGGCGGCUCUCUGGUCUGUAACUGACGCUGAGGCUCGAAAGCGUGGGGAGCAAACAGGAUUAGAUACCCUGGUAGUCCACGCCGUAAACGAUGAGUGCUAAGUGUUGGAGGGUUUCCGCCCUUCAGUGCUGCAGCUAACGCAUUAAGCACUCCGCCUGGGGAGUACGACCGCAAGGUUGAAACUCAAAGGAAUUGACGGGGGCCCGCACAAGCGGUGGAGCAUGUGGUUUAAUUCGAAGCAACGCGAAGAACCUUACCAGGUCUUGACAUCCUUUGACCACUCUAGAGAUAGAGCUUCCCCUUCGGGGGCAAAGUGACAGGUGGUGCAUGGUUGUCGUCAGCUCGUGUCGUGAGAUGUUGGGUUAAGUCCCGCAACGAGCGCAACCCUUAUUGUUAGUUGCCAUCAUUCAGUUGGGCACUCUAGCAAGACUGCCGGUGACAAACCGGAGGAAGGUGGGGAUGACGUCAAAUCAUCAUGCCCCUUAUGACCUGGGCUACACACGUGCUACAAUGGGAAGUACAACGAGUUGCGAAGUCGCGAGGCUAAGCUAAUCUCUUAAAGCUUCUCUCAGUUCGGAUUGCAGGCUGCAACUCGCCUGCAUGAAGCCGGAAUCGCUAGUAAUCGCGGAUCAGCACGCCGCGGUGAAUACGUUCCCGGGCCUUGUACACACCGCCCGUCACACCACGAGAGUUUGUAACACCCGAAGUCGGUGAGGUAACCUUUUGGAGCCAGACGCCUAAGGUGGGAUAGA